UUUUUUUUCUCUCUGAAGGAGGGAAGCGGAAAUCGUGACACUGCGGAAACGUGAAAAAAAAAAAAAAGUUUCAGCAUCCCCAGCUGUGGGGGGCGGCCCCAGCGCCCGCCCCCAGCCCGGGACAAUGGAGCCGGGCAGCCCCUGGCCCCGCCGCUCCGAGCACACAGAACCGCCGGGCGCUGGGGCUCACCCAGCCCAAACCCGCUCACGGCUGAAAUUUCAGGAUCCAAAUGCCACGGCGAACGCUUUAACAUGAAAUUCACAUGGCACAAGAAAAUCUUUCCAAAGGAUGGUUACUGGGUCAUUACAUUUUUACUUGACUUUAAAAGAGAAAGAAGACAACCAUGAAAAUAAUUUUCAUACAGGUAAAAACAUAAUUAAGUUUAGAAAAACACAACAAUUUUCUCCGAAGCUUUAACUGGUGAAACUGCAAUGCUGAAACUGCAUUUGUAAAAGUACAAAACCUUAUGAAUGAUACUGCAGAAACAUCAGUGCACAUGAAAUUCAGAAGUGAGCAUGUGAAAAUGCAAA